UAAGGAAUAUUGGUCAAUGGACGCAAGUCUGAACCAGCCAUGCCGCGUGAAGGAUGAAGGUCCUCUGGAUUGUAAACUUCUUUUAUUUGGGAAGAAACCCACGGUUUCUACUGUGGUUGACGGUACCAGAUGAAUAAGCACCGGCUAACUCCGUG
rnacentral:rRNA from 1 species